rnacentral:rRNA from 1 species
AUUGAACGCUGGCGGCAUGCCUUACACAUGCAAGUCGAACGGUAACAGGUCUUCGGAUGCUGACGAGUGGCGAACGGGUGAGUAAUACAUCGGAACGUGCCCGGUCGUGGGGGAUAACGCAGCGAAAGCUGCGCUAAUACCGCAUACGAUCUGAGGAUGAAAGCGGGGGACCGUAAGGCCUCGCGCGAUCGGAGCGGCCGAUGUCAGAUUAGGUAGUUGGUGGGGUAAAGGCUCACCAAGCCGACGAUCUGUAGCUGGUCUGAGAGGACGACCAGCCACACUGGGACUGAGACACGGCCCAGACUCCUACGGGAGGCAGCAGUGGGGAAUUUUGGACAAUGGGCGCAAGCCUGAUCCAGCCAUGCCGCGUGCAGGAUGAAGGCCUUCGGGUUGUAAACUGCUUUUGUACGGAACGAAAAAGCUCUCUCUAAUACAGGGGGUGAAUGACGGUACCGUAAGAAUAAGCACCGGCUAACUACGUG